rnacentral:rRNA from 1 species
ACGCUGGCGGCAGGCUUAACACAUGCAAGUCGAACGGUAACAGGAAUUAGCUUGCUAAUUUGCUGACGAGUGGCGGACGGGUGAGUAAUGCUUGGGAAUCUGGCUUAUGGAGGGGGAUAACUACGGGAAACUGUAGCUAAUACCGCGUAAAAUCUUCGGAUUAAAGGGUGGGACUUUCGAGCCACCUGCCAUAAGAUGAGCCCAAGUGGGAUUAGGUAGUUGGUUAGGUAAAGGCUGACCAAGCCGACGAUCUCUAGCUGGUCUGAGAGGAUGACCAGCCACACAGGAACUGAGACACGGUCCAGACUCCUACGGGAGGCAGCAGUGGGGAAUAUUGCACAAUGGGGGGAACCCUGAUGCAGCCAUGCCGCGUGAAUGAAGAAGGCCUUCGGGUUGUAAAGUUCUUUCGGUGACGAGGAAGGUUGAUAGGUUAAUAGCCUAUCAAAUUGACGUUAAUCACAGAAGAAGCACCGGCUAACUCCGUGCCAGCAGCCGCGGUAAUACGGGGGGUGCGAGCGUUAAUCGGAAUAACUGGGCGUAAAGGGCACGCAGGCGGUGACUUAAGUGAGAUGUGAAAGCCCCGAGCUUAACUUGGGAAUUGCAUUUCAUACUGGGUCGCUAGAGUACUUUAGGGAGGGGUAGAAUUCCACGUGUAGCGGUGAAAUGCGUAGAGAUGUGGAGGAAUACCGAAGGCGAAGGCAGCCCCUUGGGAAUGUACUGACGCUCAUGUGCGAAAGCGUGGGGAGCAAACAGGAUUAGAUACCCUGGUAGUCCACGCUGUAAACGAUGUCGAUUUGGGGAUUGGGCUUUGAGCUUGGUGCCCGUAGCUAACGUGAUAAAUCGACCGCCUGGGGAGUACGGCCGCAAGGUUAAAACUCAAAUGAAUUGACGGGGGCCCGCACAAGCGGUGGAGCAUGU